rnacentral:rRNA from 1 species
UACGGGGGGGAGCAAGCGUUUGUUCGGAUUUACUGGGCGUAAAGGGCGCGUAGGCGGCGUGACAAGUCACUUGUGAAAUCUCCGGGCUUAACUCAGAACGGUCAACUGAUACUGUCGGGCUAGAGUGCAGAAGGGGCAACUGGAAUUCUCGGUGUAGCGGUGAAAUGCGUAGAUAUCGAGAGGAACACCUGCGGCGAAGGCGGGUUGCUGGGCUGACACUGACGCUGAGGCGCGAAAGCUAGGGGAGCGAACGGG